rnacentral:rRNA from 1 species
GAUGAACGCUGGCGGCGUGCCUAAUACAUGCAAGUCGAGCGAACGGACGAGAAGCUUGCUUCUCUGAUGUUAGCGGCGGACGGGUGAGUAACACGUGGAUAACCUACCUAUAAGACUGGGAUAACUUCGGGAAACCGGAGCUAAUACCGGAUAAUAUUUUGAACCGCAUGGUUCAAAAGUGAAAGACGGUCUUGCCGUCACUUAUAGAUGGAUCCGCGCUGCAUUAGCUAGUUGGUAAGGUAACGGCUUACCAAGGCAACGAUGCAUAGCCGACCUGAGAGGGUGAUCGGCCACACUGGAACUGAGACACGGUCCAGACUCCUACGGGAGGCAGCAGUAGGGAAUCUUCCGCAAUGGGCGAAAGCCUGACGGAGCAACGCCGCGUGAGUGAUGAAGGUCUUCGGAUCGUAAAACUCUGUUAUUAGGGAAGAACAUAUGUGUAAGUAACUGUGCACAUCUUGACGGUACCUAAUCAGAAAGCCACGGCUAACUACGUG